AUGACAACAUAUGGUGAUGUCGAGCAUAGGAAGAAACACAAGAUUCGCAGGCUCUCUGUCAUGAGCCGCUACAAUGAAAUGGCUGCUGUGUCAGGGGAUCUCUCUCAUGUUCGAUCAAUUGCUAUAUUUGGGAAUUUCGGACAAAAUUCUUUGUUGUCUUUUCCAGCUCUUCGUGUGUUGGACCUGGGAGAAUGUCGGGAUUUAGAAAACAGCCAUCUGACAAAUAUUGGAAAGUUACUUCUUCUCAAGUACUUGUGUCUUGGAUCAGAUAAAAUAACAGAGCUUCCAAGUAAAAUUGGAGAUCUGCAGUAUUUAGAAACACUGGACAUCAGAGGUGCCAAAAAUGUAGGACGACUACCGUCAACUAUUACACGGCUUCAACGAUUGACCCGUCUAUAUGUUAACUACAUCAGGUUGUCCGAGCCAUUGGAAAGUUGCACUGAUUUAUCUGAUGGAGUGAUUGGACAGUUGCAGAGCUUGGAAGACCUAGAGAGUGUUCUUGUCUUCCCAUCGCAAAUAAAGAUGUAUCUGCAAGAGCUCGAUCAGUUAACCAAUCUAAGGACAUUGAAUGUAAUUAUGUUGUAUCCACCUCAUUUUUGUCAUGCUGAUGGAUCUGAUGAUGUUGAAAGAUUUGUAGGGACUUUAAUAUCUUCAUACAAUCUUCAUCAUCUACGUGUCGAUUAUAUGUGUGAAUAUGGAACUCUGGGCCUACUGUCCCUGGAAUCAUGGUGCCCUGCUACUCCUUCUGUACUCCGGGAGAUCUCCAUCACUAAUUACCACAUCGACAAGGUUCCGAAUUGGAUGAUCUCCCUUGUGAAUCUUAGGGCGUUAGACAUAUCCUUGUACCGUAUGGGACCAGAAGAUGUCGAGAUCCUUGGAGCUAUGCCCGCUCUGUUUUUCCUUUAG
rnacentral:rRNA from 1 species